UGCACAACCAUGCCUUCCUGAAUGCAUCCAAUCUCAUCUCAUCUCGGAAGCUAAGCAGGUCAGACAUGGUUUGAAGUUGAAUGAAGCAAGUACUAGGGGUGGCUACAA
rnacentral:rRNA from 1 species